rnacentral:rRNA from 1 species
GAUGAACACUAGCGGCAGGCUUAAUACAUGCAAGUCGAGGGGCAGCAGUUUUGUAGCAAUACAGAAGCUGGCGACCGGCAAACGGGUGCGGAACACGUACGCAACCUUCCUUUAACUGGAAGAUAGCCCACCGAAAGGUGGAUUAAUACUCCAUAACAUAUUGAAGAGGCAUCUCUUUGAUAUUAAAGCUCCGGCGGUUAAAGAUGGGCGUGCGUCGGAUUAGGUAGUUGGCGGGGUAACGGCCCACCAAGCCUUCGAUCAGUAGCUGAUGUGAGAGCAUGAUCAGCCACACGGGCACUGGGACACGGGCCCGACUCAUACGGGAGGCAGCAGUAAGGAAGAUUGGUAAAUGGACGCGAGUCUGAACCAGCCGUGCCGCGUGGAGGAUGAAGGCCCUCUGGGUUGUAAACUUCUUUUCUUUGGGACGAAACCCCUGUUUCUACGGGGACUGACGGUACCAGAGGAAUAAGCACCGGCUAACUCCGUGCCAGCAGCCGCGGUAA